CCCUUAGAUGUUCGGGGCCGCACGCGCGCUACACUGAAGGAAUCAGCACGUCUUUCUCCUUGUCCGAAAGGACUGGGUAACCCGCUGAACCUCCUUCGUGCUAGGGAUUGGGGCUUGUAAUUCUUCCCCAUGAACGAGGAAUUCCCAGUAAGCGCGAGUCAUAAGCUCGCGUUGAUUACGUCCCUGCCCUUUGUACACACCGCUCGUCGCUACUACCGAUUGGAUGGUUUAGUGAGAUCCUCGGAUUGGUCCCGGCGCGGCCUCUGGUCGUGCCGGAGUGCCGAAAAGAAUGUCGAACUUGAUCAUCUAGAGGAAGUAAAAGUCGUAACA
rnacentral:rRNA from 1 species